GUCAGACAAUUGCUGUAUCGCUUGCUGUGUGCAGUGAACAUCGAAAAUAAUACAGAUGUAAUUUAGAAUACGGCAGCACUUCCUUGUUCUUUUACGAGAAUUAUCAUUCUGUAGAUUUGUCCUCAUACUGGCGAUUCACAAGAAGAAUUUCUGCCAUGCGACGACAUAGUCGAGGGCCUCGAGGCUGUUGUUUACCGUAGCAACUAAAAGCAAGUGGCAUGAUUGCUAGCAUCAGUCGAAGAAUUGUCGUGUAGAAAGACAUUGUUGCUCAGGAGAAAGAACUUGUAAACGCUUUAUAGAGUCAAUUAGAUUGUUGCUUUCGUUCUGUUCUGAAAUGGUCUUAGUGAAAGUAUUUAUCAUGUUUGUAAUUUCCAUUACUUGCAUCAAUAUGAAACUCAACUGCAUACUUCGUUCAAGUGGGAGUGAGUCCAGUAAGAAGAUUGAUCAAUACCGUAUAUAUUAUAGACUAUUAUGGCUUUCACAAAGUUUCUUUGAACAAAUGAGUGCUUGAUACUGAAAGCCCAGAGCAAAGCUACACCUGCAAAGCAUUCCAGCUGAUAAGAAUAAUGAAUCAUCUUUGGAGCAAAAUAUUAAAAACUGAAAGUUUACAAAGGGAAGCCUGCAACUGUUGAAGAAUUUGUUGAAGGAACAUUUUGUAAAGAUGUUAACAAUGGAAAAGUGUGCAGAAGUGAGGUAGUGUGAAUACCGAUAUGGUGCUUCUAGUCGUAUUUAUUGUCGAAUAUGAUAAACCUUUUUGGCUUUUUCGUGGAGCUCAGUCAAGUAUAUUAAAAUUGCUAUCACAGAUGGAUCUAACAGGGGUGGCACCAGGAAUUCCCCAACAGAGCGGCUAAGGUCCUCGACGGGGGGCUGACUUAGCUACUAGGCUGAUGUGACAAUGCGCUUUCCAUGUAAAUCUUAAAUUGCUCAAAUAAGUUUUUUAUGUGAAGUAUUUAAUCUUUUUCAUUUACCAAAAUGAUUAACACUUUGCUAAAUCUCGGCUACCGGGCUCAUGUAAUUGGCCCUUAGAGGCUGACCAAGAUUCAUUGAUUCAGCGCUGGUAAAAUUUUGUCUAUAGAUGGGAAUUUUCUUUUUGUGUUGUGUUGAUGAAACAACAAAUCAAGGAAAACUAUAGCGACACUUUCCUUUAUGUAUACCAGUAUGAUUCUACUAAAACAAUUAGAUUACUCGCUCUCAACUUCCAUGAUGCGAGAGUUGAUUUUGGCUUUGUACUCAUCAACUAUCAUUUUGUAGAUGAGAGCUCGUAAUCUAAAUGUUGAAUUACUACAGCAAACAAUGGUGGAAAAAGCUUUGUUUUAAAGAUGACGCUUCGUCUUCUAUUUAAGACAUCAUCAGCUGAUACGUAGUUAUUUCCCUGAGAUAUAUUUACUGAGUAAAAAAACUUUUUUGCAAACCUCUA